rnacentral:misc_RNA from 1 species
CUAACAUAUACUCCCAAAAACUUUGCUAAUAUCUCCUUUAUGAUCCAAGAAAUGUUGCUUACAAUUUUUUUGAGACAGAGAGAGGGAAAGGGUGAGUCGUCCUCCUACAAAAGAAAAGAGGGGAUUCCAUUUUUCAUCUCCAACCCACCUAAUUACAUAAUCGUCUAUGAAUAUUUACUUGCAAAAAUUUUAUGCUUCACUAUCUCUUAUUAAUUUAUGGAAGGAAAAGGAGAUCUACCUUCUAUACUAUUUCCUCUUGGCUUCUCCAAAAGACUGAAUAUUUUCUUCAUCUUAUCACGAGUAUACAAAAUGGCAACCAUCAUAACUUGGAUCCACAGUAACAAGCAUGGCAGUCCCUCCAAAGGAACAAGUGCCACCAGCCACCUUUGUCCUUUGCCAGUAGCUAUUGAAGGCAUAGGAAGCAUGUGCAAACAACGUAUUGGGCUCAAAGCAUGAUUUACUGGGCUGAAUCGAGUCGCAAUCUGCACCAGAUGCACAAGCAUAGUUCAUAGCUUCUUGAAUGAUUGGGUCCGGCACCGAUGGCUUCGCUACACACCAUAGGGCCUGUGGUGGGCCUGUUCUUGGAGGUGGUGGCCCUAUUGGUGGUGGAUACACCACAGGUGGUAGAAAAAUUAAAGGGCUAGGAACGUACCCUGUUGGAGAUGGAACAAAAGUUGGUGGGCUGGGAAUGUAACUUGGUGGACUAGGCUCGUAAUAGGGAGGACUUGGAACAUAAGUUGUUGGACUAGGUACAUAAGUUGUUGGUGGGCCUGGAAUGAGACUGGGUGGGCUAGGAAUUAUUUCGGGUGGAUUUGGGAGAGGUGUGGUUUCGGGCGGGCUAGGUACCACACCUGAUGGACCUGGAGGUGGGCUUGGGAUGGGAAGAGUAGGUGGUAGAUAAGAGAAGGGUGAUGGGGGUGGCAAAUUAGGUGUUGAUCCUGGUGGAGUUGGAAAUGUUGUGGAAGGGGGUAGAGGAGUAUUUGGGGGAUAAAUGCAAAAAGGAGGGGCAUUUUCGGGCAAUGGAAUUGGGGAUAAGGAAUCAUAAGGUGGCAAAGAAAAUGGUGAACUCACAUAAGGGUCAGCGUUAGAUGGAUCCAUAGUUUCUUUCUGCAGAAGUAAUGAAGCUAUAUCAAAGUGCUUUGUUACUUUAAAUUUUUUAAUGUGUUGGAUGAUUGAACUUGUUGGGUGCAUUUGUCCUCUAAGUACAUGCAUAGAUUUUCUUGCUUCACAAUUAUAAGCAGCAAAAGAAAGAUGGAGCAGCAGUAGCAGAAGGUGGCAAAGUCUGUUGCAGUAGUGAAUGUUCCUUUCCAUUACUUCGAAAGAAACCAGCAGCUCAAAGCUAGCGAACUAAAAUGUUGAUGAAGACACCGUACCAAAUUAAAGACCCACAAAGCAGAAGCUUAUAUAUAUAUAUAAAGAGAGAGGAAGAGGAGGACAUCCUCGGAC